ACUCCUACGGGAGGCAGCAGUGGGGAAUAUUGCACAAUGGGCGCAAGCCUGAUGCAGCCAUGCCGCGUGUAUGAAGAAGGCCUCGGUUGUAAAGUAACUUCAGUCAGUGAGGAAGGCGGGUACGUUAAUAGCGUGCUCGUUUGACGUUAGCUGCAGAAGAAGCACCGGCUAACUCCGUGCCAGCAGCCGCGGUAAUACGGAGGGGGCUAGCGUUGUUCGGAAUUACUGGGCGUAAAGCGCACGUAGGCGGAUUGGAAAGUUGGGGU
rnacentral:rRNA from 1 species